UGGGGGGGGUCCAGGGAAAUUAGGGCCCAUAGAGGCACUGCUGAGGGAGGGACUGCCAUGGAGGGGGCCUCGGUCAGGGAGGUCAGGGGGUCUGGGCAGGAGGGUCUGAGCAUGGCGGGAGGGAAUGAUAGGACUAGAGAGGGGUGCCUGGGAAAACUGCAGCCUAUCUGCAAGGGGCUGUAGGGGCGCCCAGAGGGCUGGCAGAGGGCCAAGGAAGUGGCCUCAGGUGCCCAGACCGAGCUGUGGCAAUGGUAAGCCAUGGGGGUCUUGAGCAAGGGGGCGUCUGUGUCUCUGUGAAGUCAGCUGUGAUGUAAAAGGAUGCACUUAGCCCUUUGGGGUGGAUGCAGAUGCCGUUCUCAGAGGCCCCAUGGGGCUGCGGCACAGGAAGGGCUGCCGCAGCCUGGGCCUGCGUCUUUGGACUCAAGUCCCUGCUGGCCGUCCUACCCCGCCCUGGAUGCCAGGUGCUUCCUGAAGAUCUGCCAGGGUGGCAUGAGCUGGGCCUUUGGGUUCAGUACCUCCUGUUCUGCAGGGCCUAGGGAGGGUUUCUGCUAUUCUCCGGGUGCAGAAAGGGAAUGCCAUUUGCUCCACACCAGCAGGGCUAACUGAGAACAGCCAGCUUCUCUGAUUGGAAGCCCAGGACAUCCAGGAAGUCCAAGGUGUGCUGAGACAGCUGUGUGACAGCAACUGGCUUUGGAGGAGUGUCUGGAAUCCCACUUGACAGUGGCCUGUCAGGUGACAUCCAUUUCAAGGUGAGGCCCGGAAGAUCAGUUUAUUUACCGCUUCCUUCACAUGGACCUAUUUUCUGCCUGUCCCAGGCUGUAAGCUGAGGAUCCAGGGCCGGCUCCCAGCCUGUGCCCUUAAAUCUUCCUCAUCUGCUUAGGGAGGCAGAAAAGUCAUCAGUGGCAGUGUGAGCUGGGCAGCUGUGAUGGCAGUGGUGAGGACGAUUAGGUUGGUAAUAAAUAAUCACGUGUGAUGCUAAUAACAAGAAGCUAUGCACUUGCCGUGUCCCUGGAUGUCUCCAGGCGCUUUCAAGGUGCUCUCUCAUGUAGUUCUCACAACAGCCCCAGGAGUAGAGUCUUGUUAUUUUCAUUCCCAUUUUCCAGAUGGAGAAAUUGAGGCACAGAAAAGGGAGGGAUCAUAUCCUUCAGGGGGCAGAGGAAGGCUUUUCUUAGGAGGGGCCAUUUGACUUGAACUUUGAAGGGUGUAUAGGAGUCCACCAGGCAGAGAAGUGGUGGGAACAAGGUGGACAGACUUGAGGCCACCCGGAGAAGCAGAGCCGACCAACUAGGGCCUUCAUUCUGGAAACCCUGGGGUCUGCCUUAUCUCCCAGCACAGGAGGGAACCACAGUUGAGAGACAGAGGCAGAGGGGUUGUAGGACUGGGGAGGGCUGUGCAGGGGCUGAGGAACCAUCUCUGUAAAUGAGCCCUUGUCGAAGAGGAAGUGGGGUGGCUCUGACACAUCCCUCCCUGGCCUCCCGGGAUGCUGGUCCUCAGUACCGGGCAGCCCCACCCUGGGAGAGAUGGGCAGGGUGAAGACUGGGCCUGUGUAGAAAAGCAGCUAGUGGACAGAGCUCUGGGAGACUGAAUUCUCUUGUGUAUUUGCUAUUUCUUUAUUUAAUGUUUUUAUAUGGAGCAUAUAUAGUUUUUCCUCCCAGCUGGAACAAUAUGAGAACAAAUGGGACCCUAUUAAGCCCACAUUUUCCUGCAGCACAGAAAAAAGAAAUUCACCCACAUCAGCACCUUGGUGGGGGCUGGAGGGUAGGCUCUGAGCUAGGCUGUUUCAUACAGAGCCAGCCACCCCUGAUGACCAGUCUGUGAAGGAUGGUUGGGAACUCCAUUUACAGAUGAAGAAACUGAGGCACUGACACCCACCCAGGCCCAGGAGGUCUUGGUCUCAGCGCCUCUCGCUGCCUCACUGGGUCUCCUGGUUGCAUCUAUUCCAGCCCCAGUCUCCUGGCUAUAUUUUUCUUUUCCAUGUUCCCGGGGAGGGGGGAUUGCAACAGGGCAGGGAGUUGCCCUCCCAGCAGAAAAAUGCGUGUGUUCUUUUAGGUGAGACGGGAACAAUAAG
rnacentral:lncRNA from 9 species